rnacentral:piRNA from 1 species
UCUGGCUAAUGAAAAAAAUGU